UAAAUACCCCAUUCUUCUUGGCUCYGGACAGGUUAAUAACACAGCUGCUUGCAGCAAGGAGGUUGCAACGUCGGGGUGCUCCAUGUGAGAAGAAUUCCUGGUCUCCACGCGGCUCCCGCCACGCUUGGUCUAACUUGUCCUUUUUUGGCUCCAUGAUGAGCAGAGCAAGUGCUGAACAGGGAAUAAACCGGGGAAUAAAACCCUAUAGAAAGGGCCCCACUGAGAACUCCAUCUAYUUCCUCACCUGCACUUAAAGACUGUCAGUUUUAUCCAGCAGAGAACGUUUUAACCUGGGCAAGCGGCGUGUCAGAAGCAAUCAGAGAUACGAGGAGAACA